rnacentral:rRNA from 1 species
UACGUAGGGCGCAAGCGUUGUCCGGAAUUAUUGGGCGUAAAGAGCUCGUAGGCGGUUUGUCGCGUCUGCUGUGAAAACCUAAGGCUCAACCUUGGGCUUGCAGUGGGUACGGGCAGACUAGAGUGCGGUAGGGGUGACUGGAAUUCCUGGUGUAGCGGUGGAAUGCGCAGAUAUCAGGAGGAACACCGAUGGCGAAGGCAGGUCACUGGGCCGCAAACUG